CUGUAUUUCCUUGACCCGUCCUCUUGUCCUCACAGGUGGUUGAAGGUGUUAAGUACUUCUUCACUGUGACUAUGGCGAGGACCCAGUGCCUGAAAGUGGAUGCAAAUGACAAGGAGAAUGGAUUGUGUGUCGUCCAUACAGACCCAGAUGAAGCUAAGCCUUACCAAUGCUCAUUCACGGUGUGGGUCAGACCCUGGACCUCGACCGGCAAAGAGUUUACGCAGACCUGCUAAGAAGAAAACCAACGCAGGAAAAUCAUUCAGUGCUCCCACAUUGUAGCACAAUCUCCUUCCAGAUUUCUAUUUCCUGUAGAUAAAGCACAAGACCUGUAUCACUUCAAAUGGCUUCUUAUCUUUGUAAACUGUUUACAACUCUAAACGUGAUAAUCUUUUAAAAGUCUGUUUCAGAUUUCACUUUUAGUGAAACAACUUUAUAAUGCAUUAUCAUCAAAACUACCUCAUGAAAUACACAAUGUUUAAAAAUUAAACACAUUUUAACAGCA